UACGGGGGGGGCAAGCGUUGUUCGGAAUUACUGGGCGUAAAGGGCUUGUAGGCGGCCAACUAAGUCAGACGUGAAAUCCCUCGGCUUAACCGGGGAACUGCGUCUGAUACUGGAUGGCUUGAGUUCGGGAGAGGGAUGCGGAAUUCCAGGUGUAGCGGUGAAAUGCGCAGAUAUCAGGAGGAACACCGGUGGCGAAGGCGGGUCUCUGGGCCGAUACUGACGCUGAGGAGCGAAAGCGUGGGGAGCGAACAGG
rnacentral:rRNA from 1 species